CCCAGACUCCUACGGGAGGCAGCAGUGGGGGAUAUUGCACAAUGGGGGGAACCCUGAUGCAGCGACGCCGCGUGGGUGAAGGAGCGUUUCGGCGCGUAAAGCCCUCUCGGCAGGGAAGAAGGAGGACGGUACCUGACUAAGAAGCCCCGGCUAACUACGUGCCAGCAGCCGCGGUAAUACGUAGGGGGCAAGCGUUAUCCGGAUUUACUGGGCGUAAAGGGGGCGCAGACGGCAGCGCAAGCCAGGAGUGAAAGCCCGGGGCCCAACCCCGGGACUGCUCUUGGAACUGCGCGGCUGGAGUGCAGGAGGGGCAGGCGGAAUUCCUGGUGUAGCGGUGAAAUGCGUAGAUAUCAGGAGGAACGCCGGUGGCGAAGGCGGCCUGCUGGACUGCGACUGACGUUGAGGCCCGAAAGCGUGGGGAGCAAACAGGAUUAGAUACCCCAGUAAAC
rnacentral:rRNA from 1 species